rnacentral:rRNA from 1 species
UACAGAGGUCUCAAGCGUCGUUCGGAUUCAUUGGGCGUAAAGGGUGCGUAGGCGGCGCGGUAAGUCGGGUGUGAAAUCUCGGAGCUUAACUUCGAAACUGCAUUCGAUACUGCCGUGCUUGAGGACUGGAGAGGAGACUGGAAUUUACGGUGUAGCGGUGAAAUGCGUAGAUAUCGUAAGGAAGACCAGUGGCGAAGGCGGGUCUCUGGACAGUUCCUGACGCUGAGGCACGAAGGUCAGGGGAGCAAAACGGG